rnacentral:rRNA from 1 species
GAUGAACGCUGGCGGCGUGCCUAAUACAUGCAAGUCGAGCGAACAGACGAGGAGCUUGCUCCUCUGACGUUAGCGGCGGACGGGUGAGUAACACGUGGAUAACCUACCUAUAAGACUGGGAUAACUUCGGGAAACCGGAGCUAAUACCGGAUAACAUGUUGAACCGCAUGGUUCAACAGUGAAAGACGGUCUUGCUGUCACUUAUAGAUGGAUCCGCGCCGCAUUAGCUAGUUGGUAAGGUAACGGCUUACCAAGGCAACGAUGCGUAGCCGACCUGUGAGGGUGAACGGCCACACUGGAACUGAGACACGGUCCAGACUCCUACGGGAGGCAGCAGUAGGGAAUCUUCCGCAAUGGGCGAAAGCCUGACGGAGCAACGCCGCGUGAGUGAAGAAGGUCUUCGGAUCGUAAAACUCUGUUAUUAGGGAAGAACAAAUGUGUAAGUAACUAUGCACGUCUUGACGGUACCUAAUCAGAAAGCCACGGCUAACUACGUG